rnacentral:rRNA from 1 species
UAGGGAAUUUUGGGCAAUGGGCGAAAGCCUGAUCCAGCAAUGCCGCGUGAGUGAUGAAGGCCUUAGGGUUGUAAAGCUCUUUUACCCGGGAUGAUAAUGACAGUACCGGGAGAAUAAGCCCCGGCUAACUCCGUGCCAGCAGCCGCGGUAAUACGGAGGGGGCUAGCGUUGUUCGGAAUUACUGGGCGUAAAGCGCGCGUAGGCGGCUUUGUAAGUUAGAGGUGAAAGCCCGGAGCUCAACUCCGGAACUGCCUUUAAGACUGCAUCGCUAGAACGAUGGAGAGGUAAGUGGAAUUCCGAGUGUAGAGGUGAAAUUCGUAGAUAUUCGGAAGAACACCAGUGGCGAAGGCGACUUACUGGACAUCUGUUGACGCUGAGGUGCGAAAGCUAGGGGAGCGAA